AUUGAACGCUGGCGGCAGGCCUAACACAUGCAAGUCGAGCGGAUGAAGGGAGCUUGCUCCUGGAUUCAGCGGCGGACGGGUGAGUAAUGCCUAGGAAUCUGCCUGGUAGUGGGGGAUAACGUCCGGAAACGGGCGCUAAUACCGCAUACGUCCUGAGGGAGAAAGUGGGGGAUCUUCGGACCUCACGCUAUCAGAUGAGCCUAGGUCGGAUUAGCUAGUUGGUGGGGUAAAGGCCUACCAAGGCGACGAUCCGUAACUGGUCUGAGAGGAUGAUCAGUCACACUGAAACGGGAACACGGUCCAGACUCCUACGGGGGCAGCAGUGGGGAAUAUUGGACAAUGGGCGAAAGCCUGAUCCAGCCAUGCCGCGUGUGUGAAGAAGGUCUUCGGAUUGUAAAGCACUUUAAGUUGGGAGGAAGGGCAGUAAGUUAAUACCUUGCUGUUUUGACGUUACCAACAGAAUAAGCACCGGCUAACUUCGUG
rnacentral:rRNA from 1 species